UACGUAGGGUGCAAGCGUUAAUCGGAAUUACUGGGCGUAAAGCGUGCGCAGGCGGUUGUGCAAGACAGAUGUGAGAUCCCCGGGCUUAACCUGGGAACUGCAUUUGUGACUGCACGGCUAGAGUGUGUCAGAGGGGGGUAGAAUUCCACGUGUAGCAGUGAAAUGCGUAGAUAUGUGGAGGAACACCGGUGGCGGAGGCGGCAUCCUGGACCAACACUGACACUGAGGAGCGAAAGCCAGGGGAGCAAACGGG
rnacentral:rRNA from 1 species